rnacentral:rRNA from 1 species
UACGAACCGUGCGAACGUUGUUCGGAAUCACUGGGCUUAAAGGGCGCGUAGGCGGGCCUCCCAGUCCGGGGUGAAAGCUUUCGGCUUAACCGGAAAAGUGCCUUGGAUACUGGAGGCCUGGAGGGGGGUAGGGGCAGCCGGAACUUCCGGUGGAGCGGUGAAAUGCGUUGAGAUCGGAAGGAACGCCCGUGGCGAAAGCGAGGUCCUGGACGUCUACUGACGCUGAGACGCGAAAGCUAGGGGAGCAAACGGG